rnacentral:tRNA from 1 species
GUCAUGAUGUCGAGUGUUAGGAGUUCUGCUAUAGUUUUUUACUUGAAAGCAGUUUGUCAGCAUGGCUCUGCUUCGCAGGUUCGAAUCCUGUUCAUGACG